GCGGCGAACGGGUGAGUAACACGUGAGUAACCUGCCCCCAACUUUGGGAUAAGCCUCGGAAACGGGGUCUAAUACCGGAUAAUACCUUCCGCUUCAUGGUGGUUGGUUGAAAGUUCUGGCGGUUGGGGAUGGGCUCGCGGCCUAUCAGCUUGUUGGUGGGGUGAUGGCCUACCAAGGCUUCGACGGGUAGCCGGCCUGAGAGGGCGACCGGCCACACUGGGACUGAGACACGGCCCAGACUCCUACGGGAGGCAGCAGUGGGGAAUAUUGCGCAAUGGACGAAAGUCUGACGCAGCAACGCCGCGUGAGGGAUGACGGCCUUCGGGUUGUAAACCUCUUUCAGCAGGGACGAAGCGAGAGUGACGGUACCUGCAGAAGAAGGACCGGCCAACUACGUGCCAGCAGCCGCGGUAAUACGUAGGGUCCGAGCGUUGUCCGGAAUUAUUGGGCGUAAAGGGCUCGUAGGCGGUUCGUCGCGUCGGGAGUGAAAACUCGGAGCUUAACUCCGAGCCUGCUUCCGAUACGGGCGGACUAGAGGUAGGCAGGGGAGAGCGGAACUCCUGGUGUAGCGGUGGAAUGCGCAGAUAUCAGGAAGAACACCGGUGGCGAAGGCGGCUCUCUGGGCCUUACCUGACGCUGAG
rnacentral:rRNA from 1 species